UUAACAGAAUUCACAUGAGCCUAAAAGUAUUUUUUAAAUUUAGAAAAAAAUUAUGCUGUAUUGUUACUCCCAUCAAGUCAGUUGGGAUUUGAGGUCUUUUUCUUCUUCUUUCCUUCUUUUUUUUUUUUUUAUAAACAAAAGAUUUGCCUUGCAUCAUCAGUCUUACUAUAAUUUCUUUCUCUUCUUUUAAUAACCAAAGAUUACAUGCACACUGUGGCCUCCAGUGACCUAUAUUUCAAGCUAUUUCAUUUCUUACAAACAGCAAAUGAGCAGUAUCACUAUGCAGUGUAAUGAGGUUUGCAGUGAAAAUAUAUAUAUGUCAGUUUAUUACAGAACAGUAAUAUGUCAUUUCUUUUAAAUUGAGAAAUUAGAUUCUUGCAAAUUUAAGUCCAAAAGAUACUUGGUACCUUCAUUGGCAGAACACACCAUUACAUUAAUCAUAUACUUGGACAUGAACAUUGAUGGCCUUACACUCAACCCUUCAAAGAAGAAUGGUCCAAGAUAAACAUGAAUUAUGAAAGGUUAUUGAGAAAAAUGCAUUAGGGUCAAAUUCAGAAUGUAUUUAUGGGGAAAAGGCCUUAUAUUUGAGGUUAUCUCUUUAAGUCGUCUAUAACUUCCCUUUAGUCAAAAAUGUAUAAUCCAGUUGUCAUUUAAGAUGAAAUAGCCAAAGUUUAUUUUUGUCUUGAUCAAGAAUUUAAUCUUGUGAAUUUGUGUACAUAACAUUCAAUGAAGAUGAACAUUGCAGAUUUGUCUGUAACAAUUCUUCAAUUGUACAUUUUAUUUUUAUGAUAUAUGAUGAAAUAUGUUAGAUACUUUAUUGGUUGUCACAUAGACUGAAAAAUUAAAUAUAUUAUACCCAUAUAACAGUAACUAUCUGAAACACCAAAACAAAGUAAAUUACAUGCUGAAAAUAUCCUGUAGAAUUGCUCUUAGAGACUUUAUUAUAUUUUGUUGGAUGUACAGUGAUUGUUAUAUUAAAGAUUGUAUUUAUAGUCUUAUUAAUACUCAUGUG